rnacentral:rRNA from 1 species
AGUGAACGCUGGCGGUAGGCCUAACACAUGCAAGUCGAACGGCAGCACAGUAAGAGCUUGCACUUACGGGUGGCGAGUGGCGGACGGGUGAGGAAUACAUCGGAAUCUACUUUUUCGUGGGGGAUAACGUAGGGAAACUUACGCUAAUACCGCAUACGACCUACGGGUGAAAGCAGGGGAUCUUCGGACCUUGCGCGAUUGAAUGAGCCGAUGUCGGAUUAGCUAGUUGGCGGGGUAAAGGCCCACCAAGGCGACGAUCCGUAGCUGGUCUGAGAGGAUGAUCAGCCACACUGGAACUGAGACACGGUCCAGACUCCUACGGGAGGCAGCAGUGGGGAAUAUUGGACAAUGGGCGCAAGCCUGAUCCAGCCAUACCGCGUGGGUGAAGGAGGCCUUCGGGUUGUAAAGCCCUUUUGUUGGGAAAGAAAAGCAGCAGGUUAAUACCCCGCUGUUCUGACGGUACCCAAAGAAUAAGCACCGGCUAACUUCGUG